rnacentral:rRNA from 1 species
UCGGGAAUUUUGGGCAAUGGGCGAAAGCCUGACCCAGCAACGCCGCGUGAGGGAUGAAGUAUUUCGGUAUGUAAACCUCGAAAGAAUGGGAAGAAUAAACGACGGUACCAUUUAUAAGCUCCGGCUAACUACGUGCCAGCAGCCGCGGUAAUACGUAGGGAGCAAGCGUUGUUCGGAUUUACUGGGCGUAAAGGGCGCGUAGGCGGCGCGGUAAGUCACUUGUGAAAUCUCUGAGCUUAACUCAGAACGGCCAAGUGAUACUGCUGUGCUAGAGUGCGGAAGAGGCAACCGGAAUUCUUGGUGUAGCGGUGAAAUGCGUAGAUAUCAAGAGGAACACCUGAGGCGAAGGCGGGUUGCUGGGCCGACACUGACGCUGAUGCGCGAAAGCCAGGGGAGCAAACG